CGGAUUGUGAGCUCUAGUCAGUUUUGAACGAACGACCAGACGCUAAGGUCAGUUCAGUCGCGCGGGUCUCAUUCUUAAGGUGAAGAACUUUCCGAAGAGAUUUGUGAAGAAAGUGUGGCGUGAAUUUUGAAUAAUUUUACGUUGUAUACACAUUGGCGUGGGUUGUUGGUGCAAAGUGUUUCCAAGGAUAAUUAAAUUCAACUGAAUUUGGAUACAAAGGAAUAAUCAUCAAGCUCCGUGGUUGGAAUUGGUUACGACGUAGAAAGGAUCGUUCUAAAGAAAAGUCGUCAAGGAUUUUAGAGGGAUCGUAUUGAAUUUGCGCCAUCUCAAAUAUUCUAGAUAACCGCCGCCAUCGAACGACCGAGAUACAGACGAAAUUAAAUACAAAUUCAAAUAAUACAAACACAAACAGAAACGAGCAACUUAUUUUCCAGGAAAAACUUCCCGAAAGAUAACUAGCCGAGACGAAACAAACAGAUACGUACAAACAGAAAGCCGACGAAGACCAAACUUUAUUUUGCAUCAACGAAAACUAAAGAAGCGGAGACAAAGGCAAAAGUAAAUUUUCUUUUGGGAAAAUUACAGAAAGAGUGGAAAUUCGUCUCCAUCGCUAUCGCUUUUCCGAGAGCGUACUUGAGUCUAAUUAAAAGCGAGAGGUUGUGUCCUGGGAGGCAUUUUCAUCAUCCGAAAAUCAUCGCCUUGUUUCCAUAAACUUCUAAGGAAACCUCAAUCAAGGACAUAGCCUGGGAAAGUGGUUAUAGAGCACGGAGCACAGGAGGACGCGGAUUUCUCUUGAAAAGAUUUCCAGCUUAUCGCAACAUAUCAACAGAAUCGUCCUGUAAAGGAGGUCGAAGCGCGGGCAAUUACGAAAUCGAAACAUAGUCACGCGGCGUGGAAGCGAGGACGAAGGACGGGAAUAUCGCAACGCGACGUGCACCACUAAUUGAUCGAAACGUGUCGUAGCUGCUGUUCGAGCGUAUCCUCGCGUACGUUGAUGUAAUGUUUGCCUUAAGAAGGUAAUAUCCGGUGAAAAGACUACCUGCUGGUGGAGGACGAUUCGACGACGACGUAUUAAGGCGAAAGGAUUACGACUAAUUGGCGUUUCAAUAUGCUGAUGAAUUGGAUUAUUUUCGGAUUACUAUGCUUAGCUAGCAGUCUUGGCGGCAUUGGGGUGCGAGCGUACGAUCAUGAAAUAUCGGAGCAACGCGACCACAAAGUUUUAUUGUCCUGCCCGAUCGAUUUUAAAGCAUGUGGAGAAUUGCAUUCUGUGAAAUGGUUCAAAGGAAACACAAGGAUAGCGGUGGUAUCGGGUGAUGGAGAGGUGGCCACGGUGAAGGAUGAAUACAUGAGCAGGAUGUCAAUAGACCAUUCGCCGAAGGGUCCUGUUACGAGUCUGAGUAUAAAAUCUCUUCAGAUAGCGGAUGAGGACGUCUACACUUGUGAGAGUACGUUCUUGGAGCCGAGGGAGUCGUGCGACACAUCGGGUGUGUACCGGAUCGAUCUGAAGGUGGAAGUUCCUCCGUCUGCUGUGCAUAUACUCGACGAGAACGGAAAAUUCGUGAAGAAUGGGACAAAGUAUGGACCGCUCCGGGAAGGUCAUAAACUAAAAUCGAUAUGUGAAGUGAAAGCUACACGUCCCGUGCCAACUGUUGCAUGGUAUCGGGGUGGAAAACGCUUAACAGAUUCCCUCCACGUGGAUGAACAGAACGGACUGUUUUAUGUGAAAUCCGAACUAUUGCUGAUAGUGUCUCGCCUUGAAUUGGGCAACAAUAUCGAAUGCCGCGUGGAGUCGCCAUCCUUGGAUGAUGAAAUUAUUACCAACUAUCUGGCUUUGGAUCUUGAAGUACCGCCAACGAGUAUCAACCUAACUGGCGUCGAGCACCAUACGGUUCAGGGAACUAAUGUUCUACUUGAGUGUAAGGUUCAUGGAGCUCGGCCUGCUGUAACCAUGGCAUGGUUCAAUGCAUCACAUGAGAUCGAUAUCCGACAUUCUGAUGCAGUUCAAAUAGAAACAAAGUCGAUUGAACAACGCGACGGUACCUAUGAAACAAUUAGCGAUUUAAAAUUCGUGGCAACACGUUACGAGGACGGCCUUAAAUUUCGAUGUGAAGCUCAGAAUGUUGUAAUGCGGGACAAUAAAGAUAAACCAUUACACGAAAGCUUAGUCCUAGAAGUUCUUUACCCACCUGUAGUGUCGGUGAAACCAGAGAAUCUAACAGUUCAGGAAGGACGAGAAGUUUUGCUAUUCUGUGACUAUGAAGCGAACCCAGCAACAUUACAAAGCGUGAAAUGGUUUCAAAACGGAAAACUACUCAACCUCGGCGAAUCCAACCGCUACGAGGGCGGUAAUCCUGAGCACACAGCCCUGCUAAUAAAGGAAUCGACUCGAUAUGAUGAUGGCGUGUACACCUGCGAACUAGCGAAUAACAUCGGGGCGGAGACGUCGGAUAACGAGAUCUAUUUGGAAGUUCAAUUUCCACCAGUCGUCAAUCUAACCAUGGACCCGGACUCUCCAAUGAUUGAGAAUGAUGAAGGGAAUGUGACGCUUUAUUGCAACGUCUUGGAAGGAAAUCCGCCAACUUUGAGCAAAGUUCGAUGGUUCUUGGGAGGCGAGCUCCUUAAAGAACUGCCGGAGUGCAAUGGGGAUGGCAGCGAUGAGUUGUGUAACAUCGAUCCAAGCCGAUUACUGCUGCAGAACAUUGGACGUCAGUUCCUGGGAAACUACUCAUGCGAAGGAUUAAAUUCUGCUGGUUGGGGUGCCCGCAGCAAGGAAAAUGAGCUGAUUGUGUACUACGAGCCGGGCAAUGCCACCAUCCGCCACAAUCCGCAGAUUGCAGUGAAGAGGAAAAGCGUGAGUUUUACUUGUUCAGUGGAUGAUCCGGGAUUUCCUGCAGCUACCACGUACCAUUGGUUGCGGGGCGGACGGGUUGUGCACGAAGUUACUUCCAACCUUUACACAGUGGACCCGGUGGGCCUGGACUCGCGAACCAACUUCACAUGCUAUGCUUUCAACGCUGGCGGAAGUGGAAAUUCCGCAACAGUCUUAUUGGAUGUUCACGCUGCUCCGGCUUUUAUCAACCCUCUAAUGCCUUACUCGGGAGUUCUCUAUUCAACCGGUAAUGCCUCGCUAACCUGUCGAGUGGAGUGCGUUCCCGAGUGCUCCAUAUCGUGGUUCAAGGAUGGUGUAGGCAUUGAUGAGUCGUCAGACAAAUACUACAUAACUGAGAAAUACCUCGAAGCGGAUCCGGCUACUGGUGACUUCGAGAGCGUACUUUCCGUGCUGAAUUUUAAUAUGACCGCGUGGCCGCAAGGAAAGUUCGAUAUUUAUGCAGACAAUGCGAAUUAUUCCUGCGUUUCAACGAAUAAUAGUGCAGGACCAGGAGUGCGGAGCGCCACAUAUUUCGGCAUUGAAUAUCCACCGGAAAAUACAACUGUUUCCAAGGAUAUCGUUACUGUCGAAGAGGAUAACAUACCGGAGCGGAUAUUGUGUUCAGCUAAGGGAAAUCCGGAACCCUUGUACGAGUGGCAGUUUAAUGGAAGCGUUAUAACACGAGGUAGUGCCUUGAUAAUAAAUCACAAGAUGGCCAAGUCGGAUGCAGGAGCGUACGAGUGUUUUGCCUACAACAAGCAUGGAAGACAUUCAGCCGUUACGAAUAUAACAGUGACAUAUAAGCCAACAUGCGAGAUCGUGAGAAAGGAGAUCGAGGACGAGGACACCCUGAUUUGCACCGCAAUUGGAAAUCCGAAAGAGGCUGACUUUCACUGGUCGAUUAAGUCGGAAAAUGACUCAAUUGAUUUGGGAAGUGGAGAAACCGUAGGAGAGUCGAAUUACCUGGUGCUGGAGGACGAGUUCUCCGUGACGCGGGUUUACCGCUGCGUGGCGAACAAUUCAGUCGGGGCUGGACCCUACUGCCAGAUUGAAGUUGCCGGGCAUUUAUCUUGGUGGCAGAGAUGGGAUAAAAUCACUCUAAUUAUCCUUGUGGCAUCUGUACUUGGUGUUCUUCUAGCACUCAUCGUUCUCUGUUGCGUCAUAGUUUGUAUAUGCCGGCGUCGAAGAAGGCGUGAUAAAUUAAACAACAAGUCAUCUGCAUUGGGGGAUCCUUUGACCGAACCUGGCGAGUAUGAGAACCUACCAUUCCACGGUCUACAAACGGCACCAAAUAAGCAAAAAGAUCACGGCGACAUCACUAGACGGAGUAAUACGUAUAUUUACUAAUUUCGCUCUCAAUCCCUAAAUAAGUGACUAAGGACAUAUUCUGAGGGAAAAACUAGUUAAGCAAUAUCUUCACCGAACUUGUUGUAUCUAAUACGUGUAUACGAACUAAUUUACGCUCAUAUCUAAGUGAUUUUUGCCGAUAUAUCUACAACCGUAAACAGGUGUACGUGUUUUAUGUUUUAAAUUGUCCGAAAGUCCAUAUCCUUCCAAGUAGGAUGAGCCACUUAGUCCCGCAGAUCUAGCCGAUGAUCUCGACUAUGCCGACGUGGAUUACCGCUCAUAUGGCCCCAUCAAUUACAAGGCUGCUUCAAUCUAUGCUUUGGUUAAAAAGCAGAAGAAUAAGGACAAUGGUGCAC
rnacentral:misc_RNA from 1 species